rnacentral:lncRNA from 1 species
CAAUUUACCGACUUACAGCAUCGCGUAAUAUAUAAUCAAGAUUAUUCAUUAAAAUCUCCAUUACUUGUCAUAUAUCUAACUUUCUGAAGAUGUACGCACACAAUUAUAUACUGCUGCCUGAGAUAUUUAAUUUUCAUCAUCUUCGAAAAAAUCGAGGCUCCCGAGUUUCGGCUAUGAAUUUGUAUGCAAUUUGGGUAAAAUAUAGGCAUUUUCAGCGAUACUGAUGUUUUAUUAACACAGAUUGCAUGAUGUAAUCUGUUGUUACAGCAUCAGUACAACUGCAUCGCCGAAAUCGCAUGUACAUUAUACAUAUCAGAUUAGACGCAAUUUAUUCCGUUGCAGUCUUGCAGAUAGUGUAUUGUAUUGAUAGUUAUUGAUAGUAUUGAAUAUUUGAAUAGCAAAUACUUCUAUAAUAGAAAUACUUCUAUAAUAUUUAUGCAAACUCUAUGUUGGGUUUCACUUGACUAUCAUCGCAAACAAUAAGCUUUGGGAAAUCACUAUAUAUUGAUGACAAAACAAAAGCGCUAUUCGCGUUUAUUUAAGACGCUUAUAUCUGCGCGCGCUAUUGUCACAUAACGUGCAGUUUUAAUUCCACUCCUAUUAUCCACGCGCAAAAUAACAACUCGUUUUAAAAAACAUGCUACAUGAAUAUAAAACAAUAUAUAAAAGAAAAGAAAACAAUUAUCAAUUCUAUCAUGAUAAGUCCCGAUACACGUCGACCCAUUGUUUACUUGUACCCCUUUUAAAACGAAAAACACCAUUGAAGGCCUCACAAAAUAACCUUUUCAAAUAGAACCGUUCUUAAAAUAUAAAGCAAAUUAUAUAUUUCUUACUUGAGCGAGCUUAUGGUGAAAAUAUCUUCACAUAAACAGCCAUUUUGAUAUAUGUAUACACAGGCUUUGUUCUCGUAGAUUUGUAAUAGUAUUUCGUUGAAAUUUUUAACUGAAAGAACCGUUUUAAACAACAGACGUAUAUUGCCACGUGUGUAGAGCGUCUUGUCCAGACAAGAAUUUGAUCUGAAAUAAAAUAUUCAAAGUCUUGUGACAAAAGGUCAUGACUUCGCUUUUAAUAUUGGUUUUUGAUUGGUUGCGCCGUUCCAUGUAUUGGAAUUUGUUUAUGUAUGUCAAACAAGAGCUUUAACUUCGUGAUUUUUAACGAGCGAAAACAUGUCUGAUAUAUUAGGAGUAUAAAUAUUCAAGAUUUUUGUGGCCGCGCUAUCUUACGCUCAAGUUCUCAACAAGGAUGCGAUGUUGUGAGGAUGUCCACUUCGGAAAUUGACGGCAGAGGUCGAGCGUUUAACGAUUCUUUGUUUUUCGAGUUCGACUUGAUUUCGAGAAAUUCCGUCAUCGGUCAUGGUCACGAGACAGCCAACAUACAAAUAUUGCGAAAUGUGAACGUUUAUGAUUUGAAACGGUGUUUUCUUGCGUUUAUUACGCGAUAUGUUUAGUUGUAUGCUUGAUUUGUAAAUCGCAGAGCUGGUUUCGCCAAAGCGCAAAGAAAAACCUGUGUUUUGACGCAGAAAUUAUCUUUACCUGCUAGUGUAUAGGCUGUCCCAUAUUGCAUAUCAAAUUGCAUAUUUGGCAAUUUGCGUGUGAAAUAUUUUAGAACUGUGAAGUAAUCAAUAUUCUAGAAUCUACGUUUUGACGUCAUGAGAUAAACCUCCUCGGUUUGAAAGUCGAUUAUCGUAAAUUGAAAACAGUCUUUCUUGAAUUUAAUGCGCAUACGUUUAGCUAUUCGCUUGAUUUGUAAAUCACAGAACUGAGUUCGCCGAAGCGUAAAGAAAAUCGUUUUGGGAGAAAGCAACGAUGUUGAUAUUCAUGGCCAGAAAUCACGGAAUUUAUUCCAUUUUUUAAAUAUUUUCUUUUCCGGAAACUUUCUCACAAAGUGAUUUUCAGAAAGGUCCUCAACUAAACAAACAAAUUUGCUAUAACGCGAUGUUCUUAAUCACAAAAUCUGAGAAUAAUGUAGUAGGUCGUUUGCAACUUGCCUCAAUCGCUGCCUGCAAAACAAACAAAACAAAACAAAACAAAACAAAACAAAACAAAACAAAACAAAACAAAACAAAACAAAACAAAACAAAACAAAGUUGUGAGUAACAACCUUGUGAGCAACUUGACAAAAAUAGCAACAUUGUUACAACUUGUUGACAAGCUUGCUACAAGCCUGUUGCGAACACAUCUGAUCAGUCUUGUUGACAAGUUGUGAGAUUUUUGCGUGUGUACUACCUGCACACAUGUCUCACAUCUUGUCGCCAACAAGUUUGGAACAAGCUGUUGACAACUUGUAGUGACAAUCUUGUUGUCAUUAUCGUACUUGUUGCAAGGUUAUCCCAACGAUACAGUCAUGAUAUAACAAUAUUGUUACAAACUUGUGUUGUCAACCUUGUAACAUUCUUGUUAUAUCAUGACUGUAUCAGUCUUGUUAGAACAACUUCGCUACAAGUCUGAUAAUGUCAUCAAGCUUGUUACAAGUUGUUAACAGCUUGUUCCAAACUUGUUGCAACAACUGAGAACAAGCAGUGCGAACACAACUUGUCGACAGCUUGUGAACAGAAUUGUGACAACUUGUUUGCAAACCUGUAACAACUUGUGCGUUUUUGCGUAUAGAAGACAAUAUAUUUCUGAAGUUUGAAUCAUGCAAAUCAUUAAAAAUGUGCACAGCAUGACUUGUUGCUAUGACUAGUUUCGCUACCGAAUUAAACUAUAUAUUAAAUUAAAUCUAAGGCCAAAACGUU